UUGACCUCGGAUCAGGUAGGGAUACCCGCUGAACUUAAGCAUAUCAAUAAGCGGAGGAAAAGAAACCAACAGGGAUUGCCCUAGUAACGGCGAGUGAAGCGGCAACAGCUCAAAUUUGAAAUCUGGCUCUUUUAGAGUCCGAGUUGUAAUUUGCAGAGGGCGCUUUGGCUUUGGCAGCGGUCCAAGUUCCUUGGAACAGGACGUCACAGAGGGUGAGAAUCCCGUACGUGGUCGCUGGCUAUUGCCGUGUAAAGCCCCUUCGACGAGUCGAGUUGUUUGGGAAUGCAGCUCUAAAUGGGAGGUACAUUUCUUCUAAAGCUAAAUAUUGGCCAGAGACCGAUAGCGCACAAGUAGAGUGAUCGAAAGAUGAAAAGCACUUUGGAAAGAGAGUCAAACAGCACGUGAAAUUGUUGAAAGGGAAGCGCUUGCAGCCAGACUUGCUUGCAGUUGCUCAUCCGGGCUUUUGCCCGGUGCACUCUUCUGCAGGCAGGCCAGCAUCAGUUUGGGCGGUAGGAUAAAGGUCUCUGUCACGUACCUCUCUUCGGGGAGGCCUUAUAGGGGAGACGACAUACUACCAGCCUGGACUGAGGUCCGCGCAUCUGCUAGGAUGCUGGCGUAAUGGCUGUAAGCGGCCCGUCUUGAAACACGGACCAAGGAGUCUAACAUCUAUGCGAGUGUUUGGGUGUCAAGCCCGAGCGCGUAAUGAAAGUGAACGGAGGUAGGAACCCGCAAGGGUGCACUAUCGACCGAUCCUGAUGUCUUCGGAAGGAUUUGAGUAAGAGCAUGGCUGUUGGGACCCGAAAGAUGGUGAACUAUGCUUGAAUAGGGUGAAGCCAGAGGAAACUCUGGUGGAGGCUCGCAGCGGUUCUGACGUGCAAAUCGAUCGUCAAAUUUGGGCAUAGGGGCGAAAGACUAAUCGAACUAUCUAGUAG
rnacentral:rRNA from 1 species